AUGACUCUACUGUGUACGUAAACGUUAGAUGUUUUGAUCCAACACAUUGUAUUAGGGAGCCUAUCUCUGCUUACUGCAGUAUACCCUUUAGGGAAACCUAAUGUGAGCAGGAGGGCACCCACCUGCUUAAGCAGGUUCAAAACACUAGCACUACGGCAUGGUGGAGUAUCA
rnacentral:other from 1 species